rnacentral:rRNA from 1 species
CCUAGCGAGCCCAACCUCCCACCCGUGUUUACUGUAACCUUAGUUGCUUCGGCGGGCCCGCCUUUAAGGCCGCCGGGGGGCAUCAGCCCCCGGGCCCGCGCCCGCCGGAGACACCACGAACUCUGUCUGAUCUAGUGAAGUCUGAGUUGAUUGUAUCGCAAUCAGUUAAAACUUUCAACAAUGGAUCUCUUGGUUCCGGCAUCGAUGAAGAACGCAGCGAAAUGCGAUAACUAGUGUGAAUUGCAGAAUUCCGUGAAUCAUCGAGUCUUUGAACGCACAUUGCGCCCCCUGGUAUUCCGGGGGGCAUGCCUGUCCGAGCGUCAUUGCUGCCCAUCAAGCACGGCUUGUGUGUUGGGUCGUCGUCCCCUCUUCGGGGGGGACGGGCCCCAAAGGCAGCGGCGGCACCGCGUCCGAUCCUCGAGCGUAUGGGGCUUUGUCACCCGCUCUGUAGGCCCGGCCGGCGCUUGCCGAACGCAAAACAACCAUUCUUUCCAGGUUGACCUCGGAUCAGGUAGGGAUACCCGCUGAACUUAAGCAUAUCAAUAAGCGGAGG